rnacentral:snoRNA from 1 species
UGGACCAAUGUUGAGAGUCAUCAUGAACAAAGGGUUAUAAUUAAUCCAAAUCUGUGUACCUGAGGUCUAUU